ACCUGUGCUACCUGGUAGCAUUUUUAUGCAGGAGUUUCCCGUGCAUGAAUGGGAAGCUGUUCACGAGCCGCCUCUGAAAGAAUUUCAUCUUCUGCUGCGUUAUCCAGCUCCUAGGGUCUAGACCACCUUGGGCCCUGAUAUUUGUGAAGUCUCCAAAGACAAACGCUUGAAGCUUUCUCCUCUUUCCUCGUGAUUUCCUUAGGGGAAAAUUCCUAAAAGUGUAAGCCAACUUUGUUUCUUCUCUCCUGUAUUUCAUCCUCCACUUGCCCAUCCUGGGUUAGCAGUGCAGGCUGUGGGAGAUAAUGCAGGUAGGGUGGGGACAGUCAGACUGGACGGUGUGGAGGAGGGAGCCUUGGAAGUUCCGUGGAUUCACCUGGGUAGGGAAAACCAGAGAGAGACGGCCUCAAGGAUGAUGACUGUUGUUUUCUAGAAAGGCCCCAGUAAAUAGGCUCACAGCUGCUUGUGCUGGCAGGCAAUAAGGAUGCACUAGGAUGGAAGGCAGCCCUGUCAGCAUUGGCCCAUCGCCAAUGUCACAGUGUCAGCGGUGGCUGGUGAUUGGAUUUCUUCUCAGAGGGGGAGCCCUAGAACAAGAGUCUAGCGUCGUCGGUGUCGGUGAGACAGGUACACCAGCGAUGCUACUGGUAGAAAGUGUAGCAGUAUACAUAGUAUCUGUGCAUAUGAUUGACAGAUAUGCUGUAUUCAAAUGUUGCCAGGCACGAGGGGUAAGCUGACUGAGAGAGCCGUCCUAUUUCUCCGUCACAAGCUGGGUUAAAAAAAUCUCUGGCUGUGGUCCUGUAGCACGCGGCUGAGGCACCCCAGAAACAGUAGAUUUGAUUAAAGGGGUGAGCCGAUUCCCAGUUUGACUAGGGCAGAGUGAGUGAAGGGGAGUGAGAACGGGGAUGGCGUAGGAGAGGAAGCCGGAGACUUCACCGGGAAGUCAAUCCAGUAGAGUUUGCACAGGCCAUAACUGGCCUUUUACUCUGACUGAGCUCACAAGCCAUGAGAGGCCUUGGAGCCGAGGAAUCACACAGCUUACCAAAUACAAAAGAAAAUCAGAGUUUUGAGGAAAACAUCGAGUGAGGAAAUCAAGGCCAAAUUAAAGUGAGGAAGUCUAAUCAGACGACGGAUUUGGGCGCAAGGCUCAUGCCACAGGGUUCUAUCCCUUCCCUGCCAGUUGGCCACAGGCGUGGAUCUAAGUUUUCCAGCUGCCAAAAUGGAAAGAGGGAAAGGUGAUCCCCGGCAGCAGUCACAGUAGCCCUGAGAUGGAACCUGACUAACUGCACAGAAGGAGCAACCAUGCUUUUCCCUGAGGUGAGCCUCUCCCAGGAGUUAUCCGAGGGAGGUUAGAGUGUGGCCAGGGAACUUCCUCUUCACCGUUGUCCUAACACCAGCUACGACGUAGAUCUUCCUGGAGAUGUUAUCUGCCACAUCCUCUGUGUGAGCACAGUUAAGCAAAAGAAAUUUCUUUCCUGACCCUCACCACCACCACCACCACCACCACAUGGUUUGUGAGGACUGUUCACGUAUUUAUGGGUGUCUCAGUGUGUUUUCUUUGUGGGUCUGUCUUGCUGUGUGGUGUGCUAUUUACUGUCUGUUCUUGUCCCUUAGGCUUAACACCCUCUGUGUGUUAUAGGUGUUGGAAACGUUUUACUUUGUCUAGGGAUUUCUUCGAUGACGGUACAACCCUAAGGGGAAAUUGAGAGAAAUAUAAUUGUGUGGGGGACAUGGACGUCUCCCUCUCAUUCUUCAACGAAUCCAAAGAAAAACCAGAGAAAAGAUGGAGGAUGUUGGUAACAGAUCUUUAUUCAUUCAACAAACAUUCAGUGAGCACCUACUACGUGCCAGUCACCUUUGGGAUAAAUUAGGGAACAACCGAGCACACAUACUAGACAACAACAAAAACCCUGGCUUUGAGGAGCUUGCCUUCUAGUGGGCAGAGACAAGCAAACAAUUAUAAUAAGGAAAUAAAUUACAUAACGUGUUGACAGAACAACGUGCAUUCAAGACAGAACAGAAGAAGACCGGGUAAAUGGGAAGUGUGUGUGUGUGUGUGUGUGUGUGUGUGUGUGUGUGAGUGAGUGAAGGGGGUGAGGUGGUGACACUUGAAAUAAUAAGUGUAGGAGCGAGCCAUAUUGAAAGGUGACAUUUAUUCGAAGUCAUGAAAGAGAUGACGGAGGUAGCCAUGCAGACAUCUGGGGAAAGAAUGCUCCAGGCUGAAAGAACAGAAGGUGCCAAAGCCCUCACUUUGGGAGCAGGAAGGAGGUCACCGUAGGCAAAGGGGAGUGAGAAAGGAGGAGGGUCCUAGGAGAUCAGGGAAGAGAGGGAACUAGUGGCCACGUCACAGAUGGCCUUGUCGGCGAUCACAAGGACUCCUAGUUUACCCUGAAGAGCAACGAACGCUGUUGGUUUGGAGCAGAGGCAUCACGUGAUCCGAUUGUAGGUUUCGGUGGCAUUAUUCUGGCUGCCGGAUUGAUUAUCAGCGGGCCGGUUUGGUGCGGCUGCUGGGGAGAGUGAAGCAGGGAACCAAGUCAGGAAACAAUUCCAAUCAUGUAGGGCAAAGACUGAUGGUGGCUUGGAACAGGAUGGGAGCAGUGGAGGUGGUGGGAAGUGGCCAGAUUCUGGACAUAUUUGGUCAAAAGAGCUCCCAGGACUGCCUGACAGUCAGCCCGAAUGAACAAGCCCAAGGCUGAAAUCCCCCAUGCGCCCCUACAAACCCCCUUCACCGGCACUAUUUCCCACCGCAGGGGAAGGGCAACUCUGUCCUUCCAGCUGUUUGUGCCACAGACUGGAGGGGCAUCCUUCACCCUUCUCUUUGGCUCCCCUAUCAUUUUCAACCUGUCAGGAAGUCCUGGGAGCUCUUUU
ensembl:lncRNA